CUAAAACCCCCAAAACAUUUUCUUUCUCUCUCUUCCCGUGUGAAAACCCCGAAACCCCAAUUAAACCCCCAAACCCCUUACUUUCUCUCUCGUCACCUACUCUCUGCUCCACCGGAGCUCCACCCUCCUGCCUCGCCGAUGUUUUCCGAGGCUGUCGAAGACCUGACGCUACACUUCGCAGCCCCUGUCCCUCUCUCUCUCGUGUGUGGUGUUGUUCGUGUUUGCUGCUGCCCUGCACCGCACCGCCAGUUUGCCGCCUUGACGGACUCGCGUCGCACCACGAUUCGUUGGCUUCGCCGGAGCUCACCUCCCUUCCGGACAUCGCUGUCGAUGCUUAGCCGUUUCCCCGAUGCUCAUCCACCUCACCCAAACUCUCUGCCCUUCCUUUGUUCUUCUUCGCUGCUCACAUGAGCAGAGUUAUAUGUUCCAGGUUGAAGCCGUGAGUUAUUCUUUUGCAAGCUGAAGCGGAUACGAGAUGGUGCAGUAUUAUAUAUGUUACUGAAGUGAGGACGCUCCACUUUAAUAGUUAAUCGUUUAUUUUCUAUAAUCUAUUUCUUCAUUUAAGAGUCGUUAGUGCUCCUGAUUCUCUGUUUGGUUGUUGCUCCGCGAAAGCGUUGAGGUUGAUGAGCUUUGGGAUUUGAAAAUAUUUUAUUUAUUGAAAUUGUAACAGGUUCAUAUUAUUUUUCA